CAUGCAAGUCGAACGUGAANNUNNCCUUCGGGCGGAGAGUAAAGUGGCGCACGGGUGAGUAACGCGUGGAUAAUCUACCCCGAGGCCCGGGAUAACUCGCCGAAAGGCGGGCUAAUACCGGAUAAUGUCCCACUACCAUAAGUAGUGUGACCAUAGGAGGCUUACGCUUCCGCCACAGGAUGAGUCCGCGUACCAUUAGCUAGUUGGUAGGGUAAUGGCCUACCAAGGCUACGAUGGUUAGCUGGUCUGAGAGGACGAUCAGCCACACUGGAACUGAGACACGGUCCAGACUCCUACGGGAGGCAGCAGUGGGGAAUAUUGCGCAAUGGGGGAAACCCUGACGCAGCGACGCCGCGUGAGCGAUGAAGGCCUUCGGGUCGUAAAGCUCUGUCAGGUGGGAAGAAACCUCCGUCAACUAAUAAUUGACGGAACUGACGGUACCACCAGAGGAAGCACCGGCUAACUCCGUGCCAGCAGCCGCGGUAACACGGAGGGUGCAAGCGUUGUUCGGAAUCACUGGGCGUAAAGGACGCGCAGGCGGCCCGGUAAGUCAGAAGUGAAAUCCGUCGGCUCAACCGACGAACGGCUUCUGAUACUGCCGGACUUGAGUACGGGAGAGGAAAGCGGAAUUCCCAGUGUAGAGGUGAAAUUCGUAGAUAUUGGGAAGAACACCGGUGGCGAAGGCGGCUUUCUGGACCGAUACUGACGCUGAGGCGUGAAAGCGUGGGGAGCAAACAGGAUUAGAUACCCUGGUAGUCCACGCUGUAAACGGUGAGUACUAGGUGUAGGGGGUACCGACCCCCCCUGUGCCGCAGCUAACGCAUUAAGUACUCCGCCUGGGAACUACGGCCGCAAGGCUAAAACUCAAAGGAAUUGACGG
rnacentral:rRNA from 1 species